GUGUGAUUCAUAAACUACUUUCAGGUUCUGGGAAGCACAUCUAUCGCACGGAGGCACCGACUGUUACGACAUUUUACUAACAGAAAUAAUGUGACCCUCUGCAUAAGAAGCGCCACCACCAGCUCCACAGCACUGGACCGAACGGAGCUCUGAGAGAUUCAAAAGGCAUCAUGACUUCUCUAUUCACAAACCUCACAAGCACUUCAACAUUAUGCACAGACCCAAUGUGUAUUUUUUACGCAGUAAUGAAUACACUCAUCUUCAUCUUUGGUUGUGCUGGAAAUGGUCUGGUGAUCUGGAUCGCUGGGUUUAGGAUGAAGAAGUCAGUCAUCACCACCUGGUACCUGAGCCUGGCUGUAUCUGACUUCAUAUUCUGCUGCACCCUGCCCUUCGGCGUCGUUCAUAAGGUGAAAGAAGACUGGAUCUUUGGGUCCUUCAUGUGCAAGUUCAGGUACUUCAUCAAGUUCCUCAACAUGUACAGCAGCAUCUUCGUCCUCGUCAUCAUCAGUGUGGACCGCUGUGUGCUUGUGAUGUUUCCAGUGUGGGCUCAGAACAAGCUCACCAUCAGAAAAGCCUCUGUGAUUUUACUGUUGAUUUGGAUCAUCUCAGCAGUGCUCAGCACGCCAGCAGUCAUAUUUAGAAAAUUAAAAUAUGAAAAGACAACGCGUUGUUCAAACUAUUUCACAGAUACUGAAAGCCGCAUUGCCACGGCAGCUUGCCGAUUCGUUUUUGGAUUUGUGAUCCCACUUUUUGUCAUUAUUAGCAGUUAUGUCAUCAUCAUUUGGAAACUUAAGUCCAACCAGAUGACCAAAUCCAAAAAGCCCUUUAAGAUCAUGACGGCACUGAUCGCUACUUUCCUGAUCUGCUGGCUGCCUUUUCACACGUUUGCUUUUUUGGACAUAAAGUACAAGAACUUGGAAUGGGUUAAAAUUGGAAAAGGAAUCGGCAUCAGUGUUGCCAACGCCAAUAGUUGUCUGAAUCCCUUUCUUUACGCUUUCAUGGGAAAAGACUUUGCCAAGCAUUGUUAUAAACUUCUGUCAAAGAUUGAGAACGCAAUCGAAGAGGAGACACCAAACAAAGAGCAAGACUCACCUGUAGUUACUGGGGAAAGCAAACUUUUAUCUUUGUAAAGUGGGCAUCCCUGAGCUACAGUUUGUAAUAGUAUAUCUACAGUACCAAAGAUUUGGACACACCUUCUCUUUUAAUGUUUUUAUUUCUUUUUUUUCCUUCAUGGUGCAUGAAUACAGAAGUGAUCCAGACUAUGAAGGAACACAUAAGGAAUCAUGUUGUAACUUAAAAGUGUUAAACAAACCAAACUACUCUGAGAAGCAUUUAGGUGGGCUCCAUUAAUCAAAUCCAUUCUAUUAAUCCACCAUGCAGAGCAUUUCAAGAUAUUAAAAUUAAAAUUACUUUUAAGGAUUUUAGGGUGUCCAAAUUUUUGACUGGAUCUGUACAUACUGUACUUUGUACAUAUAGUGGGCCUAUACAAGUCAGGGUUCAUAGAGCGGCUGGUGAGAGUAGCCUUUAAACAGUAGUCUGUAUAUACACCUUAUGCUGCCACGCCCACUUUCAGAAGCUUGUUACUUACAAUUUUGUGUUAGAAUUUCUGUGCAUUUCAUAUUAACCAUCCUGUUAUGUUAAUUUGUCAGGAAUAGCAAUGGUGUUCCCAGGUCAAAAAUCCUAACAAACAGUGUAAAUAUUUCAUUACUAACUCCAUUACUAAUUAUUCUAUCAAUAUUUAGUGCAAUGGUGUUCCUUACCUUUAACAGAUAAUGGUUAAAUUGGGAGGUACCACUUUAAAAUAAGGCUCCUUUAUAAAGGGUUUAUAAAUAGUUUAUAAAGGAGUUUAUUAAUGUUAUUAAUUAGGUUGUAAAUACUUUAAAAACAUCAAUAAGCACUUGUAACACAUACAUAGAAAGAACAACAGUGGCAAUGACUUUUUUAACGUAUCUAAUGAAAUAAUAUAGAAAGUCAGUGUAGUUUAUUUAAUUUAAUUUAAUAUGGUAUAGUUUCAUUAAUAAAAUUAUUAACAAAAAUGUUAAUGAUAACUGAUGGAAAGGGCAAGAUCUGAGAAUUUGGUACAUGAAAGGUCACUGUUGCCCUUCCUGUUUAUCUGUUGUUACUGCUUAUUAAUGGUUUAUAAGCAAAUAAAUAUAUAUUAGUAAACCCUUUAUAAACUAUAUAUAAACCCUUUAUAAACUAUAUAUAAACCCUUUAUAAACUAUAUAUAAACCCUUUAUAAAGGAGCCUUAUUUUAAAGUGUUACCAAUUAGAAUAAUUCACUAAUUUUUCAUUAAAAAAUAUAUAAAUGUUACAACUUUUUUUAAAGUUUCACUACUUUAUUACUUUAAAAGAACAACAUAUAAAACACAAUAGUUUUACAUAACAUUGAAGCAUAACAAUACAAUUUUGUUUUAGUUUUUUUUGCAGAGGGUGAUUGCAAAUAUAUGAGAUAAACCAAUUUUUUUAUUAUAUGUUGAUUACACUGAUUAAGGUAAGCAGAAGAAGUUUUAUACAAAAAAAAAUACUUUAAACAAUUUUUCAUAGAUUUUCAAACUGUAAAACAGGUAAAUGUAACCCAGAACAUAACAGGAGGGUUAAAUGGUUUAUGGUCAUACUGUAAACUGUAGUAGCUUCUGCUGUGGACACUGAUCAUAUAGUAGCUAUAGCUAUGCUAUAACCUAUAACAUUCCAACAUAGCUAACUUCCUCUCGAACCAUAGUGGGGCAUCAUGAAACAUACAGUAUUUCCACCACCUUUCACAUAAAGGGAGCUGUCCUGAAUGUAAAACAUCCACCAAAAUGUCCAUAUGUCUGAUCAUAUUAUCUUGUGAAGAGGAAACUAAGCUCUGGUGAAGUGACGUUAGACUGCAAGGGGAAAGCGUUAGCCUUGAAGCUAACUUAAGUCUAAAAAACGGCAAUAUGCUUCCACUUAACCUGAACUUUCAAACUUAGACAUUUCCUCGGAUAAGGAUGUUCUGGAGUUGGUUUCUCAUCCAAAAAAUGGUAAGAAUAAAUGUUUGAACAUCUGGAUAAAUGUUUUAAAUUUAGCAUUCAGCAUUCAACCAUAGACACAGCUGCUCUUCUUUGGAAGAUGGUGGAUAUAAAUCAUAUGGAGCGCCACAACACUCAGACAUUCUCAGGUAUACCCAGAUGUAGGGUUACCCUGAUGCUAGUUGCUAUUUUGUGUUUAUUUUUUUAUUUUUUUCGUGACAUUGGCUGGUUGCAAAUGUUUUCCAUGAAAUUAUGCUCUGAACUUACCCUGUGCAACUGUGCUCUUCGUUUCCUGGGAAGGACCUAAUGAGAGCCAGUUUCAUCAUAAUGUAUUUAAUGGCCUUUGCGACUGCAUUUGAAGAUACACUGCUUUUUUACAAAAAUGAUAUGACUAAAUUAACUAUAUGCUACUGAUAAUUUUAACCUCAUAACCACCACGUGCUACAUACUGUAUAUUGUGCAAUAAAACAAGGAGUUGUAUAUAGGGAAUGGGGAUCUGUAAAAUGUUGCCUGUUGAAUGGAUUUCUUAUCAAAUAAAUAUACACUAUUAUAAUUUUUUAUUAUUUA